rnacentral:rRNA from 1 species
AUACGGAGGGGGCUAGCGUUGUUCGGAAUUACUGGGCGUAAAGCGCGCGUAGGCGGAUUGAUCAGUCAGGGGUGAAAUCCCGGAGCUUAACUCCGGAACUGCCUUUGAUACUGUCAAUCUUGAGUUCGAGAGAGGUGAGUGGAAUUCCUAGUGUAGAGGUGAAAUUCGUAGAUAUUAGGAAGAACACCAGUGGCGAAGGCGGCUCACUGGCUCGAUACUGACGCUCAGGUGCGAAAGCGUGGGGAGCAAACAGGAUUAGAAACCCUAGUAGUCC